GAAUACCAAUCAGUGCAUGAUUUCUCAA
rnacentral:sRNA from 1 species